rnacentral:lncRNA from 1 species
UGCCCAGCCAAUCAGAGAAAUUGAGAGUGGAGCAGCACUGCUGAUCCUUUCGUGAAAGUUCGUACGUCAAAUUUCGUUGCCGAUUAGCUACGGAAAUUGAAAAUCAAGGCAUUGGUUUUGUUUAACUUAACCUAUAUUGCAGAUUUUAUUUGCUUUGCUUGCUUCCUAAUAAUUGAUUUAAUUAUCAACAAUUAUAUCAACUUUGCGACUAUUUGAGUGAAAAUUCAUGGUGUAUAGUGUUGAGUGUUUACUCCAUUAUCUACACAAUCCAUAUCUGUGAUGGUUUUAAGCUAAAAAACAAGCAAGUUAGUGUUUGAGUUUCAUUACCUUUCAAUAAACUUGCCAGUGUUUCUUAGUGCAUAAUUUCCUUCCACUUAAACCAAUAUUUGCACUUAUCUGUUGCUGUCUGUUUUUUGCCAGACAAUUAUGGCAUCACUAAGUGAACAAAAUGCAAUCUGUGAAGUUUGUGAUAAGGAAUUUUCAAGCACAUCUACCAGAAACAGGCAUUGGAAAAAGUUUCACCCUGAAUUUGUUGGGAAGGAACAAAUAAAACACAUUAUGUCCAAUGUGUACUAAUGAUAUCCAAACAUUUUCAUAUUUUAACUGUUUAAACAAACAUUUGCUUGAUAUUCACCAUAUAACUGUCAAAGAAUCAAUUUUAAAUUUUAGGAAUUUUGAAGAAUUCACAUCUUGGAGGGCACAAGAUAAUAGGGAAGUAGAUUAUGCUUGUCAGACCCAAGACAAGUUUAAGAAUGGGGAAGAACACAUAUUUUACAAUUGCAAUAGGAGCGAUAUCAGAGGUUGUACAAAGUGUUAGUUAUCAUUAUCAAACAUACAUUCGCAUUCAAGGAACAUGUCAACAAGACCAAACUCAAAUAGCUAUCAGCAUAAAAUUGUACUAGAAGCCCAUAACAAAGCCGAAAAAAUGAAUGGUAAGGUAGAAUUUUUAGAAUUUAGAAAAUUUAAAGUACAAAGUGUUUCGGUAAGUGGUAAGUUCUAUGUUGUGUCUUGUCAUGAACUAUGUGAUGAGCAAUGUCGCACUGGAUACUGUAACAUCUGUAAAAUAUGUUUUCAUAAAAACAGAUCUGAGUGUCCAGAAAAUUCAAACCAGUACUUUGUAAACAUAUACAUGCUGUAGCCAUUUUUAAGCAGAGGAGCGAGUUUGUUGUAGGUUCCCCAACUGUGAGUGAAGAGGAAGAGGAUAAUGUUUUGUUUGUUGAUCAACCCACAACUAGCCAAAUCAAUUAUCAGGAGGAUGUAAACCAUUUUAUUCAGUAGAGUUCAAAAAUGAAAGUCAAUAGUUCUGCAAUGGACUUUGAAGAAAAUCGAGAAAUUGCAUUGCAAGAAAUUUGUAGCUAUAGCAGAAGUUUAGAUAAAAAUGCAUUUGCCAGAUUUAUGGCUGUAAUCAACAAAUUUAAAAAUAAAGAAGUGGAGGAAGAAAAUUCUCAGGGCAUUGAAAAGAAAAGAAAAAUUGAAAAACAAAUGUACUAUCCAAAUAAAAAAUAAGCUAGAUUUCUUUGUGUAUUUAAUGGCUAGAUAAUAUUUGAAUUGUAGCUAUUUUUUAUGUUUGUAUAGCUGUGAAGUUAACAAAAAUAGGAUGUGGUAUUUU